GAGAGUGCGCACGUUUGAUUUUGAACGACCAAUCGCAACGUUUGAAACGAGCAGAGACGAGCGUUAGGAUCGCCUGUAGUGCGCAAUCCACGUUGACAAUAAGAGCCGACCAGUAGUUGUGGGGCGCCUUUGUGACACCGUUAUGGCGCGAUGCAGUUAACAGCGGCAUUUUACUCGACAUUUUAUCGUAUUGUUUUGAUAACUAACACGUUUUCGGUGUUAUGCUAUAACCGAACUUCGAAACGUCGCUGUACGACAAAACACCGGGACGGUUCGGUUCGAUGUACCACUCUUAAUAAUUUCCGCCGGAUUCGGCGAUUCAAAUGUCAA